UCGGGAAUUUUGGGCAAUGGGCGCAAGCCUGACCCAGCAACGCCGCGUGAGGGAUGAAGGCCCUCGGGUCGUAAACCUCUGUCGGGAGGGAAGAACGUCUUCCGGGCGAAUAGUCCGGGCGGCUGACGGUACCUCCAAAGGAAGCGCCGGCUAACUCCGUGCCAGCAGCCGCGGUAAUACGGAGGGCGCGAGCGUUGUUCGGAAUCAUUGGGCGUAAAGCGCGUGUAGGCGGCUUGGUAAGUCGGGUGUGAAAGCCCGGGGCCCAACCCCGGAAUUGCAUUCGAUACUGCCUCGCUAGAGUCCCGGAGAGGAGAGCGGAAUUCCCGGUGUAGAGGUGAAAUUCGUAGAUAUCGGGAGGAACACCAGCGGCGAAGGCGGCUCUCUGGACGGUGACUGACGCUGAGACGCGAAAGCGUGGGGAGCAAACAGGAUUAGAUACCCCCGUAGUCC
rnacentral:rRNA from 1 species